UAGCGUUGUGUAAAGUGAAAACAACAC
rnacentral:piRNA from 1 species